UGGGGAAUUUUGCACAAUAGGGGAAACCCUGAUGCAGCGACGCCGCGUGGGUGAAGAAGGCCCUAGGGUUGUAAAACCCUUUCAGCAGGGAAGAUGAUGACGGUACCUGCAGAAGAAGCCCCGGCAAACUCCGUGCCAGCAGCCGCGGUAAUACGGAGGGGGCUAGCGUUGUUCGGAAUUACUGGGCGUAAAGCGCACGUAGGCGGUUUGGAAAGUUGGGUGUGAAAGCCCGGGGCUCAACCCCGGAACUGCACUCAAAACUUCCAGGCUAGAGAUCUGGAGAGGUGGGCGGAAUUCCGAGUGUAGAGGUGAAAUUCGUAGAUAUUCGGAAGAACACCGGUUGCGAAGGCGGCUCACUGGCCAGAGUCUGACGCUGAGGUGCGAAAGCGUGGGGAGCAAACAGGAUUAGAUACCCCCGUAGUCC
rnacentral:rRNA from 1 species